GAUGAACGCUAGCGGGAGGCCUAACACAUGCAAGCCGAGCGGGAUUUGUUGGUUAGCUUGCUAACUAACAAUGAGAGCGGCGUACGGGUGCGUAGCACGUGUGCAACCUGCCUUUAUCUGGGGGAUAGCCUUUCGAAAGGAAGAUUAAUACCCCAUAACAUAUUGAUUGGCAUCAGUUAAUAUUGAAAGCUCCGGCGGAUAGAGAUGGGCACGCGUAAGAUUAGCUAGUUGGUGAGGUAACGGCUCACCAAGGCUGCGAUCUUUAGGGGGCCUGAGAGGGUGAUCCCCCACAGUGGUACAGAGACACGGACAAGACACCUACGGGAGGCAGAAGUGAGGAAUAUUGGAAAAUGGGUGAGGGCCUGAUCCAGCCAUCCCGAGUGAAGGACUAAGGACCUAUGGUUUGUAAACUUAUUUUAUACAGGGAUAAACAUACUCUCGUGAGGGUAGCGGAAGGGACUGUAUGAAUAAGAACCGGCUAACUCCGUG
rnacentral:rRNA from 1 species